CCGACGAACCGGCCGCGAACGCGUGCACUUUUCUCCUGGUAGGACGUCGCGAUCCGUUGGGCGUCGGUCUACGGCUGACGGUGGAGCCCGUGAGCUCGACUCGCGUCGUCGCUCACGGACCCGUCUGUUUCCCGGCCGACUCGCUCGACGGUACGCUAACGGUUUUAGGCCGCUCCCCUCCGGCGAGCGUCCGACCCGUGGCAAGCGCGCCAUUUGCGUCGGUGCGCGGACCUAGCGCCGCGCCCGACCUCUGGUGACUGUUGGCUACGGUGUUCUCGGACAGACCUUAUACCGAUCGGCGACGCUAUAGCUUUGGGUACUUUCAG
rnacentral:rRNA from 1 species